ACUCAAAGGCAGACUCGGUACAGUUCGAAGGGGUGACAAAAGGGUUUUAUUGAUAGGUCCAACAGGGCAGAAUGGAGAACACGGAGGAGAGGAGUAAGUCCAGGUAAGAUAGGUGCAGAGCAGGGUCUGGCAUUCAGCAGGGUUCCCGGAGGUAGUGUGCUCUACAUGUGGUUAACUGACAAUCUGGCGAAGAAUGUGAGGAGGACUGGGGUUGAAAUACUGCAGGAGCUUGAUUAGUGGAAUGAGAACCAGGUGCGCCGCUGGAGCCAGAGAGUGUAGCCAUGCCCAGACAGACACAGACAGGGAGGACAGACAGAAAACACAGGGAAGGGGGGAACAAAAGAACACAAGGUAGUGGGGAGAUUCUGUAGCACCACAACAUUUCAUUUAAGUUUUCAACAUCUGAACCUUGUUUGAAAGGAUGGAAGACUUUGUGGACAUCUGUUGUUGUUGCUUUAUUCCAUACAGAAGGUUUAAUAUAUUGUGGUUAUAGUGGCUGUUUUUUGCUGUGUAACAAUCAUAUCUAGUGGCUCUCUGACAAUGUUUAGUGGCAACAUGUAUGCUGUGGUUUGUUAAUAACAUGUUUGAUGCUGUACUUCCAAUAUAUGGUGGCUGGAGUGGAUGAUUAUUCUUAUAGUUUCUGUCUAUAAAUAAAGCAAAAUGAAACUCUUCUUGGCAUUUAUUAAAGAUCAGUCAGUCUGAGCAAACACAUGCACAGACCGAAUAUCCCCAACU